rnacentral:rRNA from 1 species
AGUGAACGCUGGCGGUAGGCCUAACACAUGCAAGUCGAACGGCAGCACAGUAAGAGCUUUCUCGUACGGGUGGCGAGUGGCGGACGGGUGAGGAAUACAUCGGAAUCUACUUUUUCUUGGUGGAUAACGUAGGGAAACUUACGCUAAUACCGCAUACGACCUACGGGUGAAAGCAUGGGAUCUUCGGACCUUGCGCGAUUGAAUGAGCCGAUGUCGGAUUAGCUAGUUGGCGGGGUAAAGGCCCACCAAGGCGACGAUCCGUAGCUGGUCUGAGAGGAUGAUCAGCCACACUGGAACUGAGACACGGUCCAGACUCCUACGGGAGGCAGCAGUGGGGAAUAUUGGACAAUGGGCGCAAGCCUGAUCCAGCCAUACCGCGUGGGUGAAGAAGGCCUUCGGGUUGUAAAGCCCUUUUGUUGGGAAAGAAAAGCAGCAGGUUAAUACCCCGCUGUUCUGACGGUACCCAAAGAAUAAGCACCGGCUAACUUCGUG